rnacentral:rRNA from 1 species
UACGUAGGGUGCAAGCGUUAAUCGGAAUUACUGGGCGUAAAGCGUGCGCAGGCGGUUCGCUAAGACCGAUGUGAAAUCCCCGGGCUUAACCUGGGAACUGCAUUGGUGACUGGCGGGCUAGAGUAUGGCAGAGGGGGGUAGAAUUCCACGUGUAGCAGUGAAAUGCGUAGAGAUGUGGAGGAACACCGAUGGCGAAGGCAGCCCCCUGGGUCAAGAUUGACGCUCAUGCACGAAAGCGUGGGGAGCAAACAGG